AUGAACGCUGGCGGCGUGCCUAAUACAUGCAAGUCGAGCGAACAGACGAGGAGCUUGCUCCUUCGACGUUAGCGGCGGACGGGUGAGUAACACGUAGGUAACCUACCUAUAAGACUGGGAUAACUUCGGGAAACCGGAGCUAAUACCGGAUAAUAUUUCGAACCGCAUGGUUCGAUAGUGAAAGAUGGCUUUGCUAUCACUUAUAGAUGGACCUGCGCCGUAUUAGCUAGUUGGUAAGGUGACGGCUUACCAAGGCAACGAUACGUAGCCGACCUGAGAGGGUGAUCGGCCACACUGGAACUGAGACACGGUCCAGACUCCUACGGGAGGCAGCAGUAGGGAAUCUUCCGCAAUGGGCGAAAGCCUGACGGAGCAACGCCGCGUGAGUGAUGAAGGUCUUCGGAUCGUAAAACUCUGUUAUUAGGGAAGAACAAACGUGUAAGUAACUGUGCACGUCUUGACGGUACCUAAUCAGAAAGCCACGGCUAACUACGUG
rnacentral:rRNA from 1 species